rnacentral:rRNA from 1 species
AGAGUUGAUCAUGGCUCAGGAUGAACGCUAGCGGCAGGCCUAAUACAUGCAAGUCGGACGGUAAAUGCCCCUUCGGGGGCAUGAGAGUGGCGGACGGGUGCGCAACGCGUAUGCAACCCACCCCCGACGGGCGCACAGCCGGUGGAAACGCCGGGUAAUGCGCCAUGCGCCCUAGAGGGGGCAUCCCCUUUCGGGCAAAGCCAUAAGGCGGUCGGGGACGGGCAUGCGUCCCAUUAGCUGGUAGCGGGGCGACGGCCCACCUAGGCUACGAUGGUAGGGGAUCUGAGAGGACGGUCCCCCACACUGGUACUGAGACACGGACCAGACUCCUGCGGGAGGCAGCAGUAAGGGAUAUCGGGCAAUGGGGGGAACCCUGACCCAGCCAUGCCCGCGUGAGGGAAGUAGGCCCUACGGGUCGUGAACCUCUUUUGUCCAGGGACAAGGACGGCGUCGAGAACGCCGUUUGAGGGUACUGGAAGAAUAAGCGUCGGCUAACUCCGUGCCAGCCGCAGC